rnacentral:rRNA from 1 species
CAAUCAUAAAAGGUGGCUUUUAGCUACCACUUACAGAUGGACCCGCGGCGCAUUAGCUAGUUGGUGAGGUAACGGCUCACCAAGGCGACGAUGCGUAGCCGACCUGAGAGGGUGAUCGGCCACACUGGGACUGAGACACGGCCCAGACUCCUACGGGAGGCAGCAGUAGGGAAUCUUCCGCAAUGGACGAAAGUCUGACGGAGCAACGCCGCGUGAGUGAUGAAGGUUUUCGGAUCGUAAAACUCUGUUGUUAGGGAAGAACAAGUACCGUUCGAAUAGGGCGGCACCUUGACGGUACCUAACCAGAAAGCCACGGCUAACUACGUGCCAGCAGCCGCGGUAAUACGUAGGUGGCAAGCGUUGUCCGGAAUUAUUGGGCGUAAAGCGCGCGCAGGCGGUUUCUUAAGUCUGAUGUGAAAGCCCCCGGCUCAACCGGGGAGGGUCAUUGGAAACUGGGGAACUUGAGUGCAGAAGAGGAGAGUGGAAUUCCACGUGUAGCGGUGAAAUGCGUAGAGAUGUGGAGGAACACCAGUGGCGAAGGCGACUCUCUGGUCUGUA